CCUACGGGCGGCAGCAGUGGGGAAUAUUGCACAAUGGGGGAAACCCUGAUGCAGCGACGCCGCGUGAGUGAGGAAGUAUUUCGGUAUGUAAAGCUCUAUCAGCAGGGAAGAAAAUGACGGUACCUGACUAAGAAGCCCCGGCUAACUACGUGCCAGCAGCCGCGGUAAUACGGAGGGGGCAAGCGUUAUCCGGAUUUACUGGGUGUAAAGGGAGCGUAGACGGCUAAUCAAGUCAGAAGUGAAAACCCAGGGCUCAACCUUGGGACUGCUUUGGAAACUGAGUAGCUAGAGUGCAGGAGAGGUGAGCGGAAGUCGUGGUGUAGGGGUGAAAUGCGUAGAGAGUAGGAGGAA
rnacentral:rRNA from 1 species